rnacentral:rRNA from 1 species
GACGAACGCUGGCGGCGUGCCUAAUACAUGCAAGUUGAGCGAUGAAGAUUGGUGCUUGCACCAAUUUGAAGAGCAGCGAACGGGUGAGUAACGCGUGGGGAAUCUGCCUUUGAGCGGGGGACAACAUUUGGAAACGAAUGCUAAUACCGCAUAACAACUUUAAACAUAAGUUUUAAGUUUGAAAGAUGCAAUUGCAUCACUCAAAGAUGAUCCCGCGUUGUAUUAGCUAGUUGGUGAGGUAAAGGCUCACCAAGGCGAUGAUACAUAGCCGACCUGAGAGGGCGAUCGGCCACAUUGGGACUGAGACACGGCCCAAACUCCUACGGGAGGAAGCAGUAGGGAAUCUUCGGCAAUGGACGAAAGUCUGACCGAGCAACGCCGCGUGAGUGAAGAAGGUUUUCGGAUCGUAAAACUCUGUUGGUAGAGAAGAACGUUGGUGAGAGUGGAAAGCUCAUCAAGUGACGGUAACUACCCAGAAAGGGACGGCUAACUACGUG